rnacentral:rRNA from 1 species
UGCCAGCCGCCGCGGUAAUACGAAGGUGGCAAACGUUGCUCGGAAUCACUGGGCAUAAAGCGCGCGUAGGUGGCCGGGAAGGUCAUCGGUGAAAUCCAACGGCUCAACCGUUGAACUGCCGAUGAAACCGCCUGGCUUGAGGACGGGAGGGGAGAGUGGAACUCUUGGUGUAGCGGUGAAAUGCGUAGAUAUCAAGAGGAACGCCGGUGGCGAAAGCGACUCUCUGGACCGUUCCUGACACUGAGGUGCGAAAGCUAGGGGAGCAAACAGGAUUAGAUA